rfam:Candidatus Brennerbacteria bacterium RIFOXYD1_FTLL_41_16 rifoxyd1_full_scaffold_40, whole genome shotgun sequence.
GCGGGUGUAGCUUAGCCCGGUUUAAAGCGCCUCCCUGUCACGGAGGAGAUCGCCAGUUCAAAUCUGGUCACCCGCG